GGGUCUCAAGCACUGCACACCUUCCGAUGUGUGUCCCAGCCGUUUUUUGCCCGUAGCCAACGCAGCGUUGAGGUGAUUCUGCAGCUGGUGCACACAACAGGAAUGUUAACAACAUGAUAAAAGCUUGAUACGUGUUCUUUCUCUCUAACCUACUGCUGUGAUCCAGAUGAGGACUGCCAGUAGGAUUGAAGACCCACAGUGCCAUGUGCAUGACGCUAUACCAAAUGUAUGCAUUGUUCUCCAAGAGUAUUCAAAAGUGAAAAAUGAUCUCAGGUGCAGAUAUUUCUUUAUGUUAUUCCCCUUGCAUACCUCCACUUCUUCUCUCACAGGCACUUCCUGGUACUUAUGUAAACACUUCAGCAGAUUGCAGGUCUGUUAGAGACCCAGGCGUUUGGCAGGACAAUAAAUAACCCUUAGCCUUGCAUUCUCACUCAUGCAGUCCUCAUGGACGCGUUUGCAUCUAGGAGUAUGCAUAAGGAUUACUGCACAAGAAAACUAACCUUAAAAGAAAAAAAAUAAAAGCGGAUGACGGAAGGUCAGAAUAAUUUAUGUGAAAUAUCAAUAAGCUGUCACAACAAAAACAAAACAUUUUUCCCUCCUUUCUCUAUUCUUAUCAGCAAAUAUCCUUACAUGCACCCCUGCCAGCAUCUCAGCUGAUGGUUGUGCACGUGGGCUUACAUGGGCAGUAGUGAGUAUGCAACAUAUGACUUGUGCAGAGCUACCAUAGUGUGCACACAGAGAAGCUCAGCUGACAGGAGAGCUUUGUUGGGAAGACAUCUGUUUUUUCUUCAGUGCUAAAAGACCAUGAAAAGAAGAAUCGAUUGGCAUCACAAAAAGCGUAGGUCAUGUGCGGAGCUGGAGCAGGAGGAGAAAUGACUUUGAAUACUGUCUGUCUGAACAAAAGCCAUUACCCUUCCACCCCACUGCACCUUGGAACUGACUCAAGUCCCUGCAUGGGACACCAAGCCCAGCUGCAGCCCCUCACCGGCCAUGGCCAACCCUGCGCAGAGGAACUGAGGAGUGCCAAAGGAGGUCUGCAUUUCAUUCCCAGCAACACGGAGAAAAUCUGCAGAGGCCAUACAGGGCGUAGCUGGGUCCAACUCACAGAGAACUCAGUGGAAAUGGAGUCUCCAGGUUCAGAAGAAUUUUGUUGUAUUCCAGCUGGCAGUACAACCCCUCUCAGUCCCCCCAGCACAGGACCUGCUGCUGACAGGGUAGCCAGGGGCUAGACAUCAGGACUCUGUCUCUCCCAAAUGAAACACCAUGAUCUUGGAUCCUGAUGUGAUGACGUAAAGUGGCCAAAUUCAGUAACAGCGAGAACUGAGUCCUUCCAUGGUCUUUCUUAACCACCGCUGAGUCCACGUCUGAAGGUUUAUAAUGGGUUAUAAUGGAGCAACCUCUUUGGACUACUACAAGGCAUUGUAAUUCAGAGAAGCCCUUGGGCUGCCUUCAGUUACUUAUGAGACCCUACUGUCUUCUGCUAGCCCUGGAAAUUAAAAGAAUAAAACAGUUCUAUGCAGUCA